rnacentral:rRNA from 1 species
UACGUAGGGGGCAAGCGUUGUCCGGAUUUAUUGGGCGUAAAGAGCUCGUAGGCGGUUUGGUAAGUCAGGUGUGAAAUCUCCACGCUCAACGUGGAGGGGCCACCUGAUACUGCCAUGACUGGAGUCCGGUAGAGGAGUGUGGAAUUCCCGGUGUAGCGGUGAAAUGCGCAGAUAUCAGGAAGAACACCCGUGGCUAAGGCGGCUCUCUAGUACGUGACUGACGCUGAGACGCGAAAGCGUGGGGAGCGAACAGG